UAGCGAAGGGGGCUAGCGUUACUCGGAUUGACUGGGCGUAAAGGGCGCGUAGGCGGUUCGUACAGUCAGACGUGAAAUUCCUGGGCUCAACCUGGGGACUGCGCUUGAUACGGCUGUGCUUGAGGAUGGAAGAGGCUCGCGGAAUUCCCAGUGUAGAGGUGAAAUUCGUAGAUAUUGGGAAGAACACCGGUGGCGAAGGCGGCGAGCUGGUCCAU
rnacentral:rRNA from 1 species